rnacentral:rRNA from 1 species
UACGUAGGGGCAAGCGUUGUCCGGAAUCAUUGGGCGUAAAGCGCGUGUAGGCGGUUUCGUAAGUCUGCUGUGAAAGUCGGAGCUCAACCUUCGAAAGCCGGUGGAUACUGUGAGACUUGAGUACGGAAGAGGAGAGUGGAAUUCCUGGUGUAGCGGUGAAAUGCGCAGAUAUCAGGAGGAACACCAACGCGAAGGCAGCUCUCUGGGACGUUACUGACGCUGAGACGCGAAAGCGUGGGGAGCAAACAGG